rnacentral:rRNA from 1 species
UACGUAGGGGGCUAGCGUUGUCCGGAAUCAUUGGGCGUAAAGAGUGUGUAGGCGGCCCGGUAAGUCCGCUGUGAAAGUCGGGGGCUCAACCCUCGAAUGCCGGUGGAUACUGCCGGGCUAGAGUGCGGAAGAGGCGAGUGGAAUUCCUGGUGUAGCGGUGAAAUGCGCAGAUAUCAGGAGGAACACCAAUUGCGAAGGCAGCGCGCUGGGACGUUACUGACGCUGAGACGCGAAAGCGUGGGGAGCAAACAGG